rnacentral:rRNA from 1 species
CAAUAGCGUAUAUUAAAGUUGUUGCAGUCAAAAAGCUCGUAGUUGGAUUUCUGGUAGGAGUGACCGUUCCGAACUUGAUUGUUCGUGUAUUGUGUUUUCUCCAGCCAUCCUUGUGGAGAACUUUUCUUGCAUUAAUUUGUAGGGAUUGGGACCCGCAUCGUUUACUGUGAAAAAAUUAGAGUGUUUAAAGCAGGCAAUCGCUUGAAUACAUUAGCAUGGAAUAAUAAGAUAGGACUUUGGUACUAUUUUGUUGGUUUGCAUACCAAAUUAAUGAUCAACAGGAACAGUUUGAGGAUAUUCGUAUGAACAUGUCAGAGGUGAAAUUCUUGGAUUUUGAUCAGACGAACUACUGCGAAAGCAUUUAUCAAGGAUGUUUUCAUUAA